rnacentral:rRNA from 1 species
AGAACGAACGCUGGCGGCAUGCCUAACACAUGCAAGUCGAACGCUUUUGGGGUUUCGGCCCCAAGGGAGUGGCGCACGGGUGAGUAGCGCGUGGGAACCUGCCCUUUAGUGGGGGAUAACCGAGGGAAACUUCGGCUAAUACCGCAUGCGCCGGGAGCGAUCCCGGGAAAGAUUUAUCGCUGAGGGAGGGGCCCGCGUCGGAUUAGCUAGUUGGUGGGGUAACGGCCUACCAAGGCGAUGAUCCGUAGCUGGUCUGAGAGGAUGAUCAGCCACACUGGGACUGAGACACGGCCCAGACUCCUACGGGAGGCAGCAGUGGGGAAUAUUGGACAAUGGGCGCAAGCCUGAUCCAGCAAUGCCGCGUGAGUGAUGAAGGCCUUCGGGUUGUAAAGCUCUUUCGCCCGCGACGAUGAUGACGGUAGCGGGAGAAGAGCCCCGGCUAACUUCGCGCCAGCAGCCGC